rnacentral:rRNA from 1 species
GGUUAAGCGGCUAAGCGUACACGGUGGAUGCCCUGGCAGUCAGAGGCGAUGAAGGACGUGCUAAUCUGCGAUAAGCGUCGGUGAGGUGAUAUGAACCGUUAUAACCGGCGAUUUCCGAAUGGGGAAACCCAGUGUGAUUCGUCACACUAUCAUUAACUGAAUCCAUAGGUUAAUGAGGCGAACCGGGGGAACUGAAACAUCUAAGUACCCCGAGGAAAAGAAAUCAACCGAGAUUCCCCCAGUAGCGGCGAGCGAACGGGGAGGAGCCCAGAGCCUGAAUCAGUGUGUGUGUUAGUGGAAGCGUCUGGAAAGGCGCGCGAUACAGGGUGACAGCCCCGUACACAAAAAUGCACAUGCUGUGAGCUCGAUGAGUAGGGCGGGACACGUGGUAUCCUGUCUGAAUAUGGGGGGACCAUCCUCCAAGGCUAAAUACUCCUGACUGACCGAUAGUGAACCAGUACCGUGAGGGAAAGGCGAAAAGAACCCCGGCGAGGGGAGUGAAAAAGAACCUGAAACCGUGUACGUACAAGCAGUGGGAGCACAGAGCAAUCUGUGUGACUGCGUACCUUUUGUAUAAUGGGUCAGCGACUUAUAUUCUGUAGCAAGGUUAACCGAAUAGGGGAGCCGAAGGGAAACCGAGUCUUAACUGGGCGUUAAGUUGCAGGGUAUAGACCCGAAACCCGGUGAUCUAGCCAUGGGCAGGUUGAAGGUUGGGUAACACUAACUGGAGGACCGAACCGACUAAUGUUGAAAAAUUAGCGGAUGACUUGUGGCUGGGGGUGAAAGGCCAAUCAAACCGGGAGAUAGCUGGUUCUCCCCGAAAGCUAUUUAGGUAGCGCCUCGUGAAUUCAUCUCCGGGGGUAGAGCACUGUUUCGGCAAGGGGGUCAUCCCGACUUACCAACCCGAUGCAAACUGCGAAUACCGGAGAAUGUUAUCACGGGAGACACACGGCGGGUGCUAACGUCCGUCGUGAAGAGGGAAACAACCCAGACCGCCAGCUAAGGUCCCAAAGUCAUGGUUAAGUGGGAAACGAUGUGGGAAGGCCCAGACAGCCAGGAUGUUGGCUUAGAAGCAGCCAUCAUUUAAAGAAAGCGUAAUAGCUCACUGGUCGAGUCGGCCUGCGCGGAAGAUGUAACGGGGCUAAACCAUGCACCGAAGCUGCGGCAGCGACGCUGAUGCGUUGUUGGGUAGGGGAGCGUUCUGUAAGCCUGUGAAGGUGUGCUGUGAGGCAUGCUGGAGGUAUCAGAAGUGCGAAUGCUGACAUAAGUAACGAUAAAGCGGGUGAAAAGCCCGCUCGCCGGAAGACCAAGGGUUCCUGUCCAACGUUAAUCGGGGCAGGGUGAGUCGACCCCUAAGGCGAGGCCGAAAGGCGUAGUCGAUGGGAAACAGGUUAAUAUUCCUGUACUUGGUGUUACUGCGAAGGGGGGACGGAGAAGGCUAUGUUGGCCGGGCGACGGUUGUCCCGGUUUAAGCGUGUAGGCUGGUUUUCCAGGCAAAUCCGGAAAAUCAAGGCUGAGGCGUGAUGACGAGGCACUACGGUGCUGAAGCAACAAAUGCCCUGCUUCCAGGAAAAGCCUCUAAGCAUCAGGUAACAUCAAAUCGUACCCCAAACCGACACAGGUGGUCAGGUAGAGAAUACCAAGGCGCUUGAGAGAACUCGGGUGAAGGAACUAGGCAAAAUGGUGCCGUAACUUCGGGAGAAGGCACGCUGAUAUGUAGGUGAGGUCCCUCGCGGAUGGAGCUGAAAUCAGUCGAAGAUACCAGCUGGCUGCAACUGUUUAUUAAAAACACAGCACUGUGCAAACACGAAAGUGGACGUAUACGGUGUGACGCCUGCCCGGUGCCGGAAGGUUAAUUGAUGGGGUCAGCGCAAGCGAAGCUCUUGAUCGAAGCCCCGGUAAACGGCGGCCGUAACUAUAACGGUCCUAAGGUAGCGAAAUUCCUUGUCGGGUAAGUUCCGACCUGCACGAAUGGCGUAAUGAUGGCCAGGCUGUCUCCACCCGAGACUCAGUGAAAUUGAACUCGCUGUGAAGAUGCAGUGUACCCGCGGCAAGACGGAAAGACCCCGUGAACCUUUACUAUAGCUUGACACUGAACAUUGAGCCUUGAUGUGUAGGAUAGGUGGGAGGCUUUGAAGUGUGGACGCCAGUCUGCAUGGAGCCGGCCUUGAAAUACCACCCUUUAAUGUUUGAUGUUCUAACGUUGGCCCCUGAUCGGGGUUGCGGACAGUGUCUGGUGGGUAGUUUGACUGGGGCGGUCUCCUCCUAAAGAGUAACGGAGGAGCACGAAGGUUGGCUAAUCCUGGUCGGACAUCAGGAGGUUAGUGCAAUGGCAUAAGCCAGCUUGACUGCGAGCGUGACGGCGCGAGCAGGUGCGAAAGCAGGUCAUAGUGAUCCGGUGGUUCUGAAUGGAAGGGCCAUCGCUCAACGGAUAAAAGGUACUCCGGGGAUAACAGGCUGAUACCGCCCAAGAGUUCAUAUCGACGGCGGUGUUUGGCACCUCGAUGUCGGCUCAUCACAUCCUGGGGCUGAAGUAGGUCCCAAGGGUAUGGCUGUUCGCCAUUUAAAGUGGUACGCGAGCUGGGUUUAGAACGUCGUGAGACAGUUCGGUCCCUAUCUGCCGUGGGCGCUGGAGAACUGAGGGGGGCUGCUCCUAGUACGAGAGGACCGGAGUGGACGCAUCACUGGUGUUCGGGUUGUCAUGCCAAUGGCACUGCCCGGUAGCUAAAUGCGGAAGAGAUAAGUGCUGAAAGCAUCUAAGCACGAAACUUGCCCCGAGAUGAGUUCUCCCUGACUCCUUGAGAGUCCUGAAGGAACGUUGAAGACGACGACGUUGAUAGGCCGGGUGUGUAAGCGCAGCGAUGCGUUGAGCUAACCGGUACUAAUGAACCGUGAGGCUUAACCUU